UUGGGCCAACCUUACUGCAUGUUUAUGUUACCUUUCCUGACUUGGUAAAUUUAGUCGUCAAGAAUCAAAGUCCACGAACGGGUGCUCAACCAAAUUGAUUUACUACUGCUGCAAUAACGAGGAAAUCAGUUCAGCGUUACAAAAUAUUUAAACAAUUAGGACUAAAACAUGCAAUCACUAUGUGUUGCAUUGUCAUAAAAUCGCACUUCAUUAUCAUCCUAGUUAAGUCACAUCAUAAUUACUCAAUAUUCAUGCCCAUAAAACUACCAGUGAGGCGUGUGUUAUCAAUGCAUUGCCGUUGAGCAGUCCUGCUAUAAAAAAUGGGAAGCUAUCUGUGUGAACUCCGAACCUAUGCCAAUCAGUUUGCAAUUGCAACUCGGGUUGGUGAACUGUUUUGUGUCGAUCGUGGAGAAACUAUGGGAAUCAUCAGGCAGUUUAUAUACUUUAUACUAUAUUGGGGCAUUAUGAUGAUUUCUAGUGCAUAUUCCGUUGCAGUUUCACCUCCCAGGAAGCCACUGCCUGCGAUGGAAAGAGCAUGCAAAAAUUGCUGCAAUGUGUACUGCAAUGGAGUUGAAAAAUGUGUAAAAAUAAAAACUCGAGAAUGGAAAAAAUGAAUAUUUGACAAUCA